rnacentral:lncRNA from 1 species
UCAGAUAUAGCAGGGUUCAAGUAAUCUGCUUCCACAUGUCCAAACUGCUGCAACCACUGAUAGUUACCUAAUGCCCAAUCAAUCUUACUAUAGACUUGCUUAUUAGACCAUGUGUAAUGCCAGCCUUUUGGUCUAACAGCAGUCAGCUGGAGGUCAGAGAUGACCUCUUUGAAAUCCUUUACUUCAGCAUCAGUCACAAUAUAUCCAAUCCUGUCAUCAGAAUUGAGUACAUUAUUAAAGUCUCCACUUGGCAGCCAUGCAUUCUGAUUAGGAAUCUGAACUAAUCUGAGAUCACUCCAAAGCUGUUUCCUAGGUGAAGCUGUGUUAUGACCAUAUACCACACUUAAGUGAAUACUGAUCUGAUUCCUUAUAUCUUCCACUUGACAAUGAAUAACCUAAGCAGUUAUAGCUAAUAUAUGCAUUUGAAUAUGAGACUUCCUAAUCAGCCAGAUUCUCCUAUUAGUUGCAUUUGAAUAAUUGCACUGCACCAUCCAGUUCCUUGCAAUCUUCCCUAAUAUCUUNNNNNNNNAUGACAUCUACUUUAUUUUUAGCUAAGAAGUUUUUCAACUCCUUUUGCUUAUGAGGCUGAUUAAGCCCCCUUAUGUUCCAAGUUACAACAAUCAUUGGGAAUAAGGUUCUACCCUGUAAGAUGGACCAGGGUCUACAUUAUAGCUACUGCUUCCAUUCUCAUUCAUGACAGCCUUACCAUUAUUGGCAAGAUCUGUCUGAUGUUCUCCUUUCUCAAAUUCAGCAAUAGUGAGUGCAGUUUCUGAACUGACUAAAGGAACAGUUUCAGGCUGCAAGGUGUUCUGUGGUCCAUCAGUCUCCCCAUGAGAUUGCUCCAAUAAUUGACCCUCUACUACAAGAACCACAGUACUAGUCUGCUCAUCAAUAGCCUCUACUGCAGGAAUCACUGUACUAUUCUGCUCAACCACAGUCUGCUUAGCAAUCCAUUCAGUUCUGAUAUGUUUCCCCUUCUGAUUCCCCUGCUGACUCACUCUUCCUUUUUGUCUUAUAGGUUUAAUUUGAGCCUCCUUGCUCUGCUCAGGUUUACCAUCCUUAUAAUACCAACAUUCAAAUGCAUCAUGACCAAAUUUGAGACAAUGAUUACAAAAGGAAGGCUUCCAAUCGUAUUCAAUUGUCNNNNNNNNNNNNNNNNNNNNNNNNNNNNNNNNNNNNNNNNNNNNNNNNNNNNNNNNNNNNNNNNNNNNNNNNNNNNNNNNNNNNNNAAUCUCCAAUACAUUCAAAUGCAUCAUGACCAAAUUUGAGACAAUGAUUACAAAAGGAAGGCUUCCAAUCGUAUUCAAUUGUCUGUAGUUUUGAGCCAUAUGGGGUAUCAAUCUCCAAUUCAUCAGGAAGUGGAUAGGCAGCAUCCAAAGUGACAUAUAUAUAUUGAUUUCUAAAAUUUAUGCUAUUGGUGUAAUUUAAUUGGUUAUAACUAACAAGUUGCUACUUUAUUUUUUAGGUUACUAUAUUUAUCUUGCUACAAAGAGUUACAUGUUAUUUUAGGCAAGGGCGGCCUAAGGGUUAGGCAAAUGAAGCCAUUGCCUUAGGCCUCCAAAAUAUUAAGGGCCCAAAUUUUAAGUACUAUGUUACAUAUAUCUUAUGUAAAUAUUAUUAAUAAAAUAUUUUAAAAGAUUUAAUUAAAGUUAUGUGGUUGAGGGAUAAAUAACGAUAAAUUUCACUCUCAUUUAACACCAUAUUUUCAUUUAGACAAAGUUCCUAACUGUGACGUGCACCUAAUUCACACAUCACGCAUUGUACACUUACCACUAGGCCAAAGUCCUAGGAGUUUGCUUUGUAGUAUCUCAUUAUUAUAUGGAUUUUACAAAAGGAAUUUCAGGGCCUUUUAGUAUGUUUUUUGGCUUUAGGCCACAAAAUCCGUUAAGCCGCACCUGUAAAAAAAAUUUUAGGCCAGUUUAAGAUGAGGUAAAACACCUACACUGCUAUACAAUAUGGACGCAUAGAACAUGAACUUGAAGAAAAUAACCUAAUAGAUGGCACUAUUUUCCCAAUCAAAGAUAAAUCAAAGACAUAAUUUAUGGUAAAACGAUGGAUCGACAAAAUUCGCUCUCGUCAUAGCAUAAAAAACGGAGACAGAAUUUAACUAGACUUAUAGAUCGUAAAAUACGCUCUAAUCAAAGUACUACAGCGAUGAAUUAUCCAUAAUACAAAGUACACAAGCAAUCACCAAAUUUUAGAUCAUUAUAGCCUCGAGAGUAUUUUAAAAGGCCAACGAUUCAGCAAAAGAAUCACCGAUCGCACCUAAUAGACACAAACCAUGGAUAAAAGAGAUAAAUUUAACAAAAAAAUGAACAGAUCUAGGGUUACUUACG